rnacentral:sRNA from 16 species
GCUGUCGCAAAAUCGGCAGCCGGGCGUAGGAACCCGUGUUUAACUAUGGCGACAUCAGACGCGCCUUGCGUCUUUUUU